rnacentral:antisense_RNA from 1 species
CUUGAUCGAGCCGAGCCACAGCGGGUCGCGCCCGUCGCGGUCCCGCCCGUAGGUGGCCAACAGCGCCUGCGCCUC